CCACCUUCAUGGCUGCCUCCUCCGAACAACCAUGAGAAGAUCAACGUCGACGCGGCAGUCUCACGCGCGGGCCGUUUUGGGGCAGUGGGAGCGAUCUGCCGUGAUAGCACAGGGGAGUUCAAGGGUGCAUCCGCAGUCAUUUUCAGAAACAUCGAAGACCCAGAGGUUCUGGAGGUCCUAGCCAUUAGAGAAGCACUGGCGCUAGCUGAUGACUUAUAUGAGCAGAGAAUCUUUGUUGCGUCCGAUUGCAGGACUGCUGUUGAAGCAAUCAAAGGAGGAACGUCGGCGUCUUAUGGAGCAUGGAGCGGUGGCACAUGAAAUAACAGAACAAGCUAGGCUUUUUUUACUUCUUGCAUUUUCAUUCAUGCAUUCCGAACCUCGAAUUACGAGGCAAACAACCUCGCGAAGCAUGCAUUAACGCUGGGGAUCGGCCAUCAUGUUUGGUUAGGCCACCCCGGUGAUCUUUUGUUCGUCCCUGUAAACAUUGUGACGGUCUAA
rnacentral:rRNA from 1 species